rnacentral:rRNA from 1 species
AUUGAACGCUGGCGGCAUGCUUUACACAUGCAAGUCGAACGGCAGCACGGACUUCGGUCUGGUGGCGAGUGGCGAACGGGUGAGUAAUACAUCGGAACGUACCCAGUAAUGGGGGAUAACUAUCCGAAAGGAUAGCUAAUACCGCAUACGCCCUACGGGGGAAAGAGGGGGAUCGCAAGACCUCUUGUUAUUGGAGCGGCCGAUGGCUGAUUAGCUAGUUGGUGGGGUAAAGGCCUACCAAGGCAACGAUCAGUAGCGGGCCGUAGAGGACGGUCCGCCACACUGGAACUGAGACACGGUCCAGACUCCUACGGGAGGCAGCAGUGGGGAAUCUUGGACAAUGGGCGCAAGCCUGAUCCAGCAAUGCCGCGUGCGUGAAGAAGGCCUGCGGGUUGUAAAGCGCUUUUGUCAGGGAGCAAAUCCUUGUGGCUAAUACCCACCGGGGAUGAGAGUACCUGAAGAAUAAGGACCGGCUAACUACGUGCCAGCAGCCGCGGUAACAC